rnacentral:ncRNA from 1 species
UUUUUUCCGAAAUUCGAGCUAAGAGGGAAUUCGGCGAGGAUAUUUUCCAGUGCCGAAGCUGCCCCCGCAACUGUGAACGGCGAACCGAUAUCAACAAAGCCACUGGAAUUAUUUCUGGGAAGGUGAAUAAAGGUGUGGACCCGUAAGCCAGGAGACCUGCCGCGGCAAAUA